rnacentral:rRNA from 1 species
AUGGGCAACGCCCUGCCGCUGCCACGCAUGUGCAAGGAAACCAGGGUGAUGGACGCCACCCUCGCCGGAGCAGCCAAGAUGGUGAAGAGGAGAGAGCGGCCCGCGGCGGCCAAGGACGUCGUCGAGGAGAAGGAGGUGGCGUGGCCGGAGUGCCGCGUCGAGGACGGCGGGGUGCGGUUGAAGGUGCUGAUGACGAGGAAGGAGGCGGCGGAGUUCAUGGCGAGGCUGGAGGAGCAGGCCGCCGCGGAGAGUGAAUCCAGGACGGGGGAGGGCCUCGCCGGCGGCGUGAUGAGCCCGCCGUGCGAGGUUGCGUGGAGGCCCCGUCUCGCAACCAUACCGGAGACGCACUAG